CUCCUACUUCUGCCCCACAUUCAGACUUCUAUUGAAUAAUGGGUUCUGGUGAAGGAGCAAAGUA